CUAGGUAGUAUCACUACUCCGUGACAAGAUUGUCUGAGGGUAGGUAUCGACUUACCAUCAAUUCCCCAGCCAAUAUAGAGGGGUGUGACGCCAAUGGCAUCACGUGCAGCAAUGAAGCUGUUGUCGCGUGUAUCGAGCAAGACGAAGGAGAAGACACCAUCCAGCAUGUCGAUGAAGUUCUCCCCAUGCUCCUCGUACUAUACAAUGGUGACUGACCAGGUGUGCGAUGACCUCGCAGUCGCUGCCUGUCCUGAACGUGUGGGAGGAGAGCUGCGCCCGGAGCUGUUCAUGGUUGUAGAUCUCUCCAUUCACCUGCAAGGAGUACUUGUUUUAACAGAAAGAACCAAGCUACAAUAGCGGCAGAGAUAUACACACAGAAAGUAAACGUACUGUGACGACGAUGGACUUGUCCUCGUUGUAGAGCGGCUGGUCGCCAGAGGCAGGGUCGAUAAUGGCGAGGCGCUGGUGGGAGAGGUAGCAGUCGCCAACCUGGUGCAUGCCGCUCCAGUCGGGGCCGCGGUGCUUGAGCCUGCGCGAGAGCUCGAGCACGCGCACUCUCUUCCCCUGGGUGUCAUCAGCGCAGCCCAGCACCGCCAGUAUGCCGCACAUUUUCCUGGAUCGACGGCAACAGUAUGUAGCUAGAAGAUCUCUCUCUGUGCUUCUGAAGGAGGAUGGGUGUGCCGUAUGAGUUGCACAAGAGCGUCUAUUUAUAGGCUGCCAAGAGCUGAGCUGAGCUGAGAGUGAGGAGCGUAGCGGGGCGCCGCGGUAGACCAGUAGCAUGUUGCAUGGUGUAUUAUCACAUGUAUUCUAUUCCAUCUUUUCCUUUUCCUUUGGGCUGUUGCGAUGACUCAUCUGAUCC